rnacentral:rRNA from 1 species
CAGCCAGGAGGUUGGCUUAGAAGCAGCCACCCUUGAAAGAGUGCGUAACAGCUCACUGGUCGAGCGCCCCUGCGCCGAUAAUGUAGGGGGCUAAGCGCGGCGCCGAAGCUUCGGAACAUGCAUACUUAAGUGUGUGCGUAGUUGGUAGGGGAGCGUUCUGUACGGGGAGAAGUCGUGUCGUGAGGCGCGGUGGACUGUACGGAAGUGAGAAUGCCGGCAUAAGUAGCGAGAAACGCGUGGGAAACGCGUUCGCCGAAUGCCCGAGGAUUCCUGGGGAAGGUUAAUCCUCCCAGGGUUAGGCGGGACCUAAGGUGAGGCCGAAGGGCGUAGCCGAUGGACAGCAGGUAGACAAUCCUGCCCCGCCCCGUAACCGUUACUACCGAUGGGGUGACGCAAGAGGCUAGGUGCUCCGGGUGAUGGAAAACCCGGUACAAAGGAGUAGGGGGACGGUCCAGGCAAACCCGGACUGUUAUUAACCCUGAGACCUGACGUGGAUCCGCCGUAAUGGUGGAGAAGUCAUUGAGGCCCUAUUGCCGAGAAAAGCCUCUAGGGAGGGUAUGGGGCGCCCGUACCUCAAACCGACACAGGUGGGCUGGCUGAGCAGGCUAAGGCGGACGAGAUAACCCUCACCAAGGAACUCUGCAAGUUGACCCCGUAACUUAGGGAGAAGGGGUGCCGCGGCGGUGAAGUGUGUACAUAUGGAGCUGCUUGCGGUCGCAGAAACCAGGCCCAGGCGACUGUUUAGUAAAAACACAGGACUCUGCUGAAGGCGUGAAGCCGACGUAUAGGGUCUGACACCUGCCCGGUGCUGGAAGGUUAAGGGGAGAGGUUAUCCGGCACUCAGCUGAUGUUGUCAGGAGUUGAAGCCAUGUAUUACGUGUAUGUACUUGAGAACGAAGAGGGAGGCACGUACACGGGUUAUACGCGGGACCUUCGUGAACGCAUGAAGAGGCACGAGAAUGGAGAUACGAAGAGCACCAGGGGUAAGCGAUGGACUCUGGUGUACUACGAAGCCUAUUUCUCGAAAAAAGAUGCCACGAUGCGCGAACGCAGGCUCAAGAGAUCCCACCAGGCCAGGAGAUGGCUGAGGGAGCGGAUAGCCAGUAGCAUGGAAGAAGCUCUUAACGGCAUUUGCUGAGUGCCGGAGAAGCUUUGAACCGAAGCCCCAGUAAACGGCGGCCGUAACUAUAACGGUCCUAAGGUAGCGAAAUUCCUUGUCAGGUAAGUUCUGACCUGCACGAAUGGUGUAACGAUCUGGGCGCUGUCUCGGUGGGGGGCUCGGUGAAAUUGUGGUACCGGUAAAGACGCCGGUUACCCGUGGUGGGACGGAAAGACCCCGUGGAGCUUUACUGUAUCCUGAUAUUGGGUCUCGGUAUGUCAUGUACAGAAUAGGUGGGAGGCGUAGAAGGUGCGGCGUCAGCUGUGCUGGAGCCGUCGUUGGGAUACCACCCUUGAUGUACUGGGGUUCUAACCGCGAGUUCUGGAACGGACCGCGGGACAUUGUCAGGUGGGCAGUUUGACUGGGGCGGUCGCCUCCUAAAGAGUAACGGAGGCGCGCGAAGGUCACCUCGAGGCGAAUGGAAAUCGUCUUUUAGAGUGCAAGGGUAUAAGGUGGCCUUACUGUGAGACCGACGGGUCGAACAGUCUCGAAAGAGGGUCCUAGUGAUCCGGCGGUACCGAGUGGAAGGGCCGUCGCUCAACGGAUAAAAGCUACCCCGGGGAUAACAGGCUGAUCUUGCCCGAGAGUUCCCAUCGACGGCAAGGUUUGGCACCUCGAUGUCGGCUCGUCGCGUCCUGGGGCUGAAGCAGGUCCCAAGGGUUGGUCUGUUCGCCCAUUAAAGCGGUACGUGAGCUGGGUUUAGAACGUCGUGAGACAGUUCGGUCCCUAUCCACCAUGGGCGCAAGUGGUUUGAGGGGAGCUGCUCCUAGUACGAGAGGACCGGAGUGGACGCACCUCUGGUGUACCGGUUGUGCCGCCAGGCGCAUACGCCGGGUAGCUAUGUGCGGAACGGAUAACCGCUGAAAGCAUCUAAGUGGGAAGCCGGCCCCGAGAUGAGACCACUCGCCGCGACUAAAGCGGGUAAGGUAUCACGGAGACUACGUGAUUGAUAGGCCAGAGGUGUAAGGGCUGCGAGGCCUUGAGCUGACUGGUACUAAUUGACCGAGGCCUUAACC